UACGUAGGGCGCAAGCGUUAUCCGGAAUUAUUGGGCGUAAAGAGCUCGUAGGCGGUUUGUCGCGUCUGCCGUGAAAGUCCGGGGCUCAACCCCGAACUUGCAGUGGGUACGGGCAGACUAGAGUGUGGUAGGGGAGACUGGAAUUCCUGGUGUAGCGGUGAAAUGCGCAGAUAUCAGGAGGAACACCGAUGGCGAAGGCAGGUCUCUGGGCCAUAACUGACGCUGAGAAGCGAAAGCAUGGGGAGCGAACAGG
rnacentral:rRNA from 1 species